UGGGGAAUAUUGCACAAUGGGCGCAAGCCUGAUGCAGCCAUGCCGCGUGUAUGAAGAGGGCCUUCGGGUUGUAAAGUACUUUCAGCGGGGAGGAAGGUGUUGAGGCUAAUAACCUCAGCAAUUGACGUUACCCGCAGAAGAAGCACCGGCUAACUCCGUGCCAGCAGCCGCGGUAAUACGGAGGGUGCAAGCGUUAAUCGGAAUUACUGGGCGUAAAGCGCACGCAGGCGGUCUGUCAAGUCGGAUGUGAAAUCCCCGGGCUCAACCUGGGAACUGCAUUCGAAACUGGCAGGCUAGAGUCUUGUAGAGGGGGGUAGAAUUCCAGGUGUAGCGGUGAAAUGCGUAGAGAUCUGGAGGAAUACCGGUGGCGAAGGCGGCCCCCUGGACAAAGACGGACGCUCAGGUGCGAAAGCGUGGGGAGCAAACA
rnacentral:rRNA from 1 species